UUCAUUUGGAUUGGCACAAGACAGGUAUAAAAAAUCAAAUGCUUCCUUUAAAGUGAAAAAUACAGAUCUAAAUCGUCAAUGUUCAUCACAAAUUGAAAUAAAGCACGCUUAAAAGAAGAAUAUAUUUUGAUGUUUUGCAACUGAAAUGGUAAUUUAUUAUAUAAUUUAGGUGCUAAGUAAAAAAACUGUUUUCGUGAAAUUUCUUUUGUAAAGUGGGGAAUCUCAUAUAUUUCAGUUGGUCUCCUUUCAGACACAUUAGUUUUUAAUUUGCAUAUUAAUUUAUUGUUGUGUAAAUAAAGUAAAAUACGAA